UCCCUUUGGUGUGUUGUAAUCCUCGAAACAGUUAAUAUAAAUUUUCGGAAAAGCAUUCAAUGUGCGUAGCGAUCCACAUUUGGUGUAUACAGUUGACUCUAAACAAGAGCGGAUUUUAAGUAUCUGUUAAAAGAUAGGGAUUAUAAAAGUAUUUUUCCAUGGUCUCGAACUAUAACAACGUAAUAACAUAGUGGUGCUUAUCUACAACUACUAUAACACAGCGAUGGAUUUUCGAAAUUAUAGAAGGAAUGAAAAAAUUGGUCGAUGAUGAAACAUUCGGCUUAUUGUAAUAUGCUUUUGUGUGAGAUAGGUAUUGGCGACAUCUAAAAUUUUGCAAUUAUAUUAUAUAUAAAAAUGAGUCACAAAAUGUGUUCGUAAGCGCAAAAUUCAACAACGCCUGGACCAAUUUGGCCAACUCUUUUUUCUAAAUGUUCGCUGAGACUCAAAGAUGGUUUUUACAGCGAAAAAAAAUUAUAAUUGCCGGAAAACCAUUAAAAAAGCCCUGUUUUCCCAUGUAUACGAA
rnacentral:lncRNA from 1 species